rnacentral:rRNA from 1 species
UUAAAAAAUUUUUAAAGCUUAAAUUAGUAAAAGAUAAAUACUUAAAAUUUAAAAAAUUUGGCGGCAAUUUAAUCUUUUCAAAGGAACCUGUUUUGUAAUCGAUAAACCACGUAAAAUCUUACUUGAUUUUGUUAAUUUCAGUUUGUAUACCAUCAUUAUCAGAUAAUUCUUAAAGGAAAAAUUAUUAAAUUUAAUUAUUUAAAAAAAUUAGAUCAAGGUGCAGUUUAUAAUCAAGGUAAAAUGGGUUACAAUAAAUUAUUUUAUUGCGAAUUAACUAAUAUAAUAUUGUUAUGAAGAAGGAUUUGAUUGUAUUUUUAGUUUAAUAAGCUAUAAAGAUAUAAGUUCUAAAUUGUGUACACACCGCCCGUCACCCUCCACAA